rnacentral:lncRNA from 1 species
UUGCGCCCACUCAGACAGAUCAGACGGCUAGGUGAUUUUUUAUCAAACGGUGGGAUUUGAAAUUUCUGAUUUGCCCUCAUUCUUGCUGAGUCAGAAGUGAUAGUACAAUAGUACGAACUGCGUUGAAAAUAAAUCCCAAGUGCUUCAACAAUGGUACGUAAUUAUUCUGUAAAAAUAAAAACAAAAACAAUAAAACAAUCUUGAACAGAAGCAAAAAAAUAAAAUAAAAUUACCUAGUAAUAAAUUAAAGAAAAAUUAAAAUUGUUCGACCAAUUUAAUGGUCUCUACCUUUUUUUGAUCAAUAUUCUGAAGAUAAUGUUUCAAUCUUUGACCAUUCACUUUGAAUUGGUGUCCAUCAUGUAAAUCUC